rnacentral:rRNA from 1 species
GAUGAACGCUGGCGGCGUGCUUAACACAUGCAAGUCGAACGGAACGACCCUACUUUUUUGGGGUGCUCGAUUGGCGAACGGGUGAGUAACACGUGUGUAACCUGCCCUUGCCUUUGGGAUAACUUCAGGAAACUAGGUCUAAUACCGGAUAGGAUCUCCUGCUGCAUGGUGGGUGUUGGAAAUUUUCGGCGGUUUGGGAUGGACUCGCGGCUGAUCAGCUUGUUGGUUGGGUAGUUGCUUACCCAGGCUUUGACGGGUAGCCGGCCUUAGAGGGUGAACGGACACCUUACGCCUGAGAUACGGCUCAGACUACUACGGGAGGCAGCAGUCGGGAAUAUUGCCCAAUCGGAGCACGCAUGAUGAAGAAACGUCGCGUGUGGGAUGACGGCCUUCGGGUUGUAAAACGCUUCAGCCUGAGACGAAGCGUGAGUGACGGUAAUCAGAAAAGAAGCACCGGCUAACUACGUG